rnacentral:rRNA from 1 species
GAUGGAACUGACUGACGCUGAAAACUCCUCCAGAAUCCUACGGUGGGCAAUAUUGCGCAAUGUUCCCCAGUGUGAUACAGUCUGGCCGAGCGACUCCGCAAGAGCUUCGAAUUGUUUCGGAUUUUCAAGGUCUAUUAAUGGGAAAAAACUAAUGACCUUGACAAUUGACGUUACCUUGACAAUACCUACCCGGA